rnacentral:rRNA from 1 species
AACGAACGCUGGCGGCAUGCCUAACACAUGCAAGUCGAACGAGACCUUCGGGUCUAGUGGCGCACGGGUGCGUAACGCGUGGGAACCUGCCCUUAGGUUCGGAAUAACUCCCCGAAAGGGGUGCUAAUACCGGAUAAUGUCUUCGGACCAAAGAUUUAUCGCCUUUGGAUGGGCCCGCGUUGGAUUAGCUAGUUGGUAGGGUAAAAGCCUACCAAGGCGACGAUCCAUAGCUGGUCUGAGAGGAUGAUCAGCCACACUGGGACUGAGACACGACCCAGACUCCUACGGGAGGCAGCAGUGGGGAAUAUGGGACAAUGGGCGAAAGCCUGAUCCAGCAAUGCCGCGUGAGUGAUGAAGGCCUUAGGGUUGUAAAGCUCUUUUACCCGGGAUGAUAAUGACAGUACCGGGAGAAUAAGCUCCGGCUAACUCCGU